rnacentral:rRNA from 1 species
UACAGAGGUCUCAAGCGUUGUUCGGAAUCACUGGGCGUAAAGGGUGCGCAGGUUGCGCAGACAGUCAAUUGUGGAAUUCAGGGGCUCAACCCCUGCGCUGCACUUGAUACUUCUGUGCUCGAGCCCUGGAGGGGAGUCUGGAAUUCUCGGUGUAGCAGUGAAAUGCGUAGAUAUCGAGAGGAACGCCAACGGCGAAAGCAAGACUCUGGACAGGUGCUGACACUCAUGCACGAAGGCUAGGGUAGCAAACGGG